rnacentral:sRNA from 1 species
GCCAGAUGUGGUGGCGCACGCCUGUAAUCCCAGCGACUCAGGAGGCUGAGGCAGGAGGAUCACGAGUUCAAAGCUUAGCCUCAGCAAAAAGUGAGGUGCUAAUCAACUGAGUGGGACCCUGUCUAAA